GCGGGCAUGGCGGUGUGGAUUGGGGGAAAGUUCGCCGCCGCCAUUGCUGCGCUCAGAAAUUCGCCGUGAUCGUGACCUCGUGACCAGCCGCCGGAGUUCGCCGUUGCGCACCGUGCAGUUUUGUACUGGGUGUGGGGCGCAGAUUCGGUGCAUCAGGCGUCAAUUCCUCGCCGACAUCGGGGCAAGUCUUCGUUCGGGAUCCUAGGUAUGAGCUCCCGCUCGAUUUGCGAUCAUCUAGAAGCCACGUAGCAUCUACCGGCCAAGUAAUUGAUGGGAUUAGGCGCCGGCCACCACUCCGGCCGCUUAGGGGUAGUGUCGUGGCCGCCCGCCAUCGUGGACAUUGUGCCCUAUUUCGUCGCAUGCGAAUUAGGAUAGAAGGGGGUGUUCACUGUCGUCCCUUCGGCAUGAAUCGUGGUGCGGGAGGAAGAAUUAGGGGUUGUAGGCGCCGGCCCGCGAUCCACGGCCAUGGCACCGCCGUGCGCCGGCGCGGUCCCGCCGCUCGUAUUCGUGGGUAUGCCAGGGCCUAGCUACCGUUGGAUUCUUGGCCAACGGUUCUGAGUAAAGAUUACAUACCGGUUAGGGCGAUUAAAUCUUGAUCAUCGAUUGCGCAGUGUAGUGCCCAGAUUAGAUCGAGCGCAGGCUGGAUUUGGACCGUUCGAUGGACAUCUAACGAAUCUGAUAUAAACGUACCCCUUCGAUCAGAGAAUCUUCUUAAAGAGCCCCUGUGUCUUUACUAAAUUAACUCGCAGUCCCAUGCACUGUUGAUUGAGUCUUGGGACUUUUGCGGGUUAGCCCAUGUGCUCUCUGGAAAUUGCGGCGCAGUCCAGACAAUAAUAAACCUAUAAAAAUCAUUUAGAAAAUAAAUUAUUAAUACAAAAACAAUUCCUAGAACUUGUUUAAUUCAUAGAAAAUUCAUAUUAAGUCCAAAUUGAACCAUUACAGUUCCUAUAAUUUUGUAAUAUUAUUGUUUAUCAACAAGUUUCUCUAUUUUCACAUGAAAACUAUAUUAAAUUAAUCUCCUAAUUAAUCUUGUAUCAAAUACAUAAAACCUUCGGAAAUUCAUAACGUUCUCAUUUUAACUCCGAAUUGACUCGUUCUAGUUGCGUUAGCUUCGUAAUAAAAUUAUUUACACUUUGGUAACCUUAGUUUAUCAUGAGACAUGUUGUAAAUAAUUAAUUUGUUUAUCCUAUGUUAAUUGGAUUAAUCUAUGACUAUUGGAUUAACUUCUUUAAUAUUAAUAUAAUAUUCUGAUAUUAUAAUUAUAAUUUGAUUAAAAUAUAAUCUCUAGUCAAGUUAUAAUUAAGAUUAAUGGUGAAUUGAUUAAUUCAUUAGAUUAUCUUUAUAAAAUCAACUCACGACCCAGUUUUAAUUGCUUCAUCAUAUAGAUCUCCCGUAAAUCAUAACUCAGUAAUAGUAGCUCCGAAUUUAGUGAUUCUCAAGCCCACAAUCUGGUAGCAACGUGUAGAUUAUUAUUAUGCAGUCUGUUCUUAUGUUUGGUGUGAUGUUAAUUUUAUCUAUACCAUGUUUGUUUGUAUUGCUACGACUAGCAGCGAGGUUACGAGUCACCUAAAGAUCAUCGUGGUACCUGGAAUCUCAAGUCCCAGGCAAGUUGUGCCCUUGAUCACUUUCAUUUACCCAAUAAUGUUCUUUAUUAUCACUUAUUCAUGCAUAGGCUUAAUUUUGAUGGGACCCACUAGGUCACCCUACACUGAUUAUCUUUUUACCUUGUUCACCCCUGAAUCAUUUGGGUAGUUUUGUUAUUGCUCCAUAUGAUUUUGGGUUUAAUAUUAUAUUAUGUCCAUGUUCCAAUUAUUCUGUUAUUUUAUUUAUGUUUAUGUCAAGAUCAUUAUUUUAAAUUUGAACAUGGAGCUUAACUUGAGAAACACGUGCCACCACAAGGGUGGAAUGGGACGCCCUUGGCUGACUAAUUAGGAAAGCUAGUGGAAGACUACCUUACCCGAAAGGGGCAAGGGCAGUAGGGGAGUUGCAUGCAGAGAGGUUCUCGGGUUGAUUUUGCUGUGAUGGUGGUCAGACGGGGGAUUCCUGCAAGUGCUCUUCCCAUAAACUGUAGCGGGUUUUCGGAAGCUAGUGGAACUUUGUAAAGGCCUCGUAGUGGAUUCCUAGUCAUUCACCUCGGAAGUGUCUAAGGACCUUGCAAACCCUGGCGACAUGGGAUACACGACUUGUGGGUACAGGGUACAACCUUUGUAGAGUGUAAAACUGGUAUACUAGCCGUGCUCGCGGUCAUGAGCAGCUCAGGACUCUCGCAUGAUUAAAUUAUGGAACUAAAUUCAAUUUGUCAUUUGCAUUGCAUGGGAUUUAUUAUUAAUUUUGUUCUAUUAUUAUGGUUUGGUAUUUACUUACAUUUAGUAACUGCUAAUAAAAUUUGACCAACUUAUUAAAAGCAAUGCUCAGCUUUAAGCCCUAUUAUUUAUCAGCCUUACACUUCACAAACUCCCACCUUUGGUGAGUUCAUGCACAUUAUUCCCCACAACUUGUUGAGCGAUGAAUAUGUGAGCUCACCCUUGCUGUCUCACACCCCCCACAGGUCAAGAACAGGUACCACUGGAUGAGGCGCAUGGAGGAUGUUGCGAUGUGUUCGUGAGAGGUCUAGGUCGUCGUCUCUCAGUCAACUUUGGGUUGCUGGAUCGUUGUCUCCUUGCGAUGUAAUUAUUUAUCUAUUUUGUACAGAACUCCUAUUAUAUAGUAAAGUUGUGACAUUCGUUUCUGUAUCAUGAUUCAUCAUAUGUGUGAGACUCGGUCUCAGC
rnacentral:lncRNA from 1 species